UUGAAUGAUGAUUCAAAAUAUAGGAAUUGCCGUCAGAACGAUAACUGAAGAUUAACUUGAUUCUGACU
rnacentral:snoRNA from 1 species